GAGUUUCGCUAGGGGUUCCGCGUAGAUCGCGGAUGAGAGAGUCCCUCAGCACCUGAUCCGGUUCACACCGGCGUAGGGAAGCGAAGCCGCCUCGCA
rnacentral:ncRNA from 2 species